CACAGUAAUCCCCUCACAACGGAUCGUUCGGCACGUACCUGCCGAUGAAAGGAUGAACA
rfam:Bifidobacterium animalis subsp. lactis AD011, complete genome.